rnacentral:rRNA from 1 species
AGUGAACGCUGGCGGUAGGCCUAACACAUGCAAGUCGAACGGCAGCACAGUAAGAGCUUGCUCUUACGGGUGGCGAGUGGCGGACGGGUGAGGAAUACAUCGGAAUCUACUUUUUCGUGGGGGAUAACGUAGGGAAACUUACGCUAAUACCGCAUACGACCUACGGGUGAAAGCAGGGGAUCUUCUGACCUUGCGCGAUUGAAUGAGCCGAUGUCGGAUUAGCUAGUUGGCGGGGUAACGGCCCACCAAGGCGACGAUCCGUAGCUGGUCUGAGAGGAGGAUCGGCGACACGGGAAGUGAGACACGGUCCAGACGCCUACGGGAGGCACCAGUGGGGAAUAUUGGACAAUGGUGGGAAGCCUGAUCCAGCGAGACGACGUGGGUGAAGAAGGCGUUCGGGUUGGAAAGCCCGUUUGUUGGGAAAGAAAAGCAGCAGGUUAAGACCCCGCUGUUGUGACGGUACCCAAAGAAUAAGCACCGGCUAACUUCGUG